UACGGGGGGGGCAAGCGUUGUUCGGAAUUACUGGGCGUAAAGGGCGUGUAGGCGGCCUUCUAAGUCAGACGUGAAAUCCCCAGGCUUAACUUGGGAACUGCGUCUGAUACUGGGAGGCUUGAAUGCGGGAGAGGGAUGUGGAAUUCCAGGUGUAGCGGUGAAAUGCGUAGAUAUCUGGAGGAACACCGGUGGCGAAGGCGACAUCCUGGACCGGUAUUGACGCUGAGGCGCGAAAGCCAGGGGAGCAAACGGG
rnacentral:rRNA from 1 species